rnacentral:rRNA from 1 species
UACGUAGGGUGCGAGCGUUGUCCGGAAUUAUUGGGCGUAAAGGGCUCGUAGGCGGUUUGUCGCGUCGGGAGUGAAAACUCAGGGCUUAACCCUGAGCCUGCUUCCGAUACGGGCAGACUAGAGGUAUGCAGGGGAGAACGGAAUUCCGGGUGUAGCGGUGGAAUGCGUAGAGAUCCGGAAGAACACCGGAGGCGAAGGCGGCUUGCUGGGCUCAUGUCUGACGCUGAGGCGCGAAAGCGUGGGGAGCGAACAGG